rnacentral:misc_RNA from 1 species
AUUCACACGUUUGCAGGCACCAACAAACUGCAGGUCUGACCGCCGGUGCUUCAGUACUGUUAUUGAUGGGGACUGUACAGGUUACCACGUCAUACAUCAGUGCUCCUCCGUGUGUCCGUGUGAACUUGCGAAUCGCACACUCCCCAGAAAGAAACAGGAGAGCUCGGUGUGAUACGACUGGCGGGGCAGGUCAUGUUACAAAAGACCGUUGACUUGACCUGCCACACGGCAUUCUGACAGUUUCUUACUAUCGGCCACGCUCCACUACACCCAAUGGUGCGCACUCAGCGUGGUGCCAAAGCACGAUAGAGAGAUUAAAAAACCCCGUGCUGAACACUUCUCUCAUUCUUUCGCCGACACACACACAUCCGCAUACCGUACCCCUUAACUUCAAAGGGUGAAAAUAUUUCCGAUAGCGAGAUCCGAGCGUUUUCUUGUGCAGCGCGUCGGUCGACCGAGAUCGCCUCAAGUUCAAAAAGUUCGGGUGAGGGAGAUCGAGGUCCGUGCACGGGUACAGUCCCCCUUUUUUUUUUGUCGACAGGGAGGUUGUGAAACGCGCCACGCCACGCGCCACGCGGCGGGUGGAUCAUGAGUGGGGCCCGCGGGUUGUGGCUGCACAGCGUGGCUGCCGACGUUGACGGGCUUCGAACGCCGCGAGCUGGCGGUCAAGGGAGGUGAAUGCGUCGCGCCGCUGAUCAGGAGUUGCUGUUCCUGGCCGGCGCGUUCAGGAGCGGUUGUCAGUGUGGGACAGUAGUUUCCACGUCGGCUGUGUGUUCAUAUUAAUUGAGAAUAAUAGGUUUUGUGGAGAAUGUCUGGUCCAUUGUUGUAAACUGCUUUUGAAAGUUUGAGCAAGGAAAUCUAUCCAAGCAUGCAGACGGCACCAUUCUCCUGAGGCUCCAAGUGAGCCCGCCGCCAUGGCACAUCAAGGCAGCGACAGAAGUGACGACAUCGACGAGAAAGGCCGGCAAGUUAUUUUAAACCUGACACACGACGCCAACAUGAUGUACUACAACACGCUCCUCAACAACACCACCACCCACGAGGCCAACGGCAGCGAGGACAACGUGGGCGAGAGCAUCGAGGCUUACCAAUUCGUCUUCUUCGGCAUACUGGGCCACGUGCUGACCGUCUUCGGCCUGCUGGGCAAUACUAUGUCCAUCGUGGUCCUGUGCAACCGUCGGAUGCGCUCUUCCACCUCCUACUAUCUCAUCUCCUUGGCCGUCUACGACAACCUUAUCCUGCUCUCCAUGUUCUUCUUUUUCAACCUGCCGGCGCUGGCGGAGCGGAUUGAAGCGUUGGCUGUGUACAAGAACAACUACAUGCACGCUCUACCCGUGGGGUACCCGCUGUCCCUGACCGCGCAAAUGGGGUCCAUCUACACCUGCGUGGCCUUUACCGUCGAGCGCUUCAUCGCCGUGUGCCGCCCGCUUCACGCGGCCAACACGUGCACCAAAUCUCGAGCCAGGAAGGCCAUCCUCCUCAUCUUUCUGUGGUCCGUUGUCUACAACGUGCCGCGCUGCUUCCACUACAGCGCCGAGCGCCACGUGGACAACGCCACCGGCGAGGCUGUGGCGCGCCUGCACGAGACGGAGCUGGGCAAGACGGAGACCUUCCAGCACGUGUACAUCAUCUACUUCCAGCUCUUCUUUAUGUUCCUGCUGCCCUUCCUCGUCAUCCUCGUGCUCAACGCCGCGCUCAUGCGCGCCAUCAACCGCUCGCGCAACACGCGCCAGAGGAUGUCCACCUCGGCCACGCGUGAACACAACCUCACCGUCAUGCUCGUCGCCGUCAUCCUCGCCUUCCUCGUCUGCCAGUUCCCUACCAUCGUCGACAACAUCCUGGUGGCCAUCGUGGGCUUUGAGAUGCACGGCAGCAUCUUCGCCUUUAUGGUCUUCUACACCAUCUGCACCUUCAUGGUCACCAUCAAUGCUUCCCUCAACUUCGUCCUGUACUGCCUCUUCGGAAAGAAGUUCCGCCUCGUGCUGUUGCACAUCCUGGGCCUGCGGGCGGCCAAGAAGGAGUGCCAUUAUCGGAGUACCAUCUAUCAGUCCAGGACUAACGGUACGAGGACGACCAACUGCGAUAUGAAAGUGUCCUUGGUGUGACCGCACGCGCGCCCUUGUUGGCGGUGGACAAAGUCUCGUGUGUUAGUCGUUGUUGCUAGUGCCGUGACCGGCUCAACGUUGACUAUGUGAAGCCUGAUUUACAGUGAGUUGUUAACGCGUUUGAAAGUGAGAGUCCACAGAGUGAAAUCAUCGUCAGGCUAGCGCUGUGCCGCAGUAGCUUUGAAUGUGCGUGUCUGGGGUCUGCUUUCCUCUUGUUCAUUGUUGUGAUGGUCGAGUCCAGCCAGGUCUAAUGGUGUGAAUCACAAGCCGCCAUCGAUACCCUAACUCGAACAGAGAGAUACGUUCCUGUGAGUAUUGUAGUCCAACGUCUUCGUCAGAAAGGAAGUGUCGGUACAAAAGGGUGUCUUUGAAAACUGUUAGCUACAACACACAAACAGGAGUGUUUUCUGAUCUCAUCCCCACACUGUGGAUCCGUUGUGCCGCUCAAUGUUUACCCACUGAUGUUACUUAACAUUGUCUCUGAGUUUCGAGAGUAUAUAUGUGCAGUGAAGAAAAUGAGGACUGAGAGGCUGUAGUCAAGAGCAAAGUUACCCCGACGGUAGCUACGGACCGAAACGGUUGUGGGGUUCAAACAAUCCCAGGGAAUGACUGUAUCUCGGUUACAACUACGGCCCUAGGAGGAUACUUGGAUAACUGAAAUCAUUUUCUCUUCCAGUCUUUGUGAGUGUAGAGAAGGGGGACGAGUGGAGAUGGAUUUAAACAGAAAAUGUGAAAAGACAACUGAGGUCUAAACAUCUCCCAGUCUGGGACUACGAGACUUAUAGUCCACCUGGGAUUUCCAUAACUUCAUGUGUUGUUUGUUAAAUGCGAUGUGUACAGUAUGUGAGACUUGGUGGUGGUUUGGUGAGAAGCAGAUACAGCCGUGGGGACACGUCGUUCAUUACUCUCGUCUUGUGAUGGCGUCACAGGCCCUGACACAGGGCCAGCCAGUCUUUGUGAUAUGGUUACGUGGUAUCUGUUACUGUUGUUUCGUGAAUACUGCGAAAAAUUUGCUUUUGUAAGGUGGAAAGUGUAUAAAAUAUACUUGAGAUUUACGA